AAGUCUGUGGCAGAACCAGGAAUGAAACCCAGGACUUGUGACUCCUCAGUCUUUGUGGUCAAAGAUGGCCAGUGUUCCAUUCGAUGUUCCUUUCAAAGCACACUGGCCAAGCUGUGCCCACUUCAGGAAAAUCCCUUGCAAAGAGGAUAUUUGGCCCAUGCCGACCCAGCCAGCGUCUCCCAACGUUUCUUAAGUCAUCUUACUGCAAAAAGGUUGAGAUGUUUUACCCAGUUUGACAUUAAUGAGUAUUAGGUCACAUUUUUAUUGUAAUCCAUAAAACCAUUUUUCUCAUUUGGACUAGUAUACGUUUAAUAGACUGUUCUUUAUCUUAUUAUUCAAAACAAUGAAUAUGAACUUAAAAGGAGCUUUUAAAACCCAUUUCAGCAGGAAUGAAUGUGGUCAGUUCAAUAAAGUUAAUAAUGAAUGUUCA